rnacentral:lncRNA from 1 species
AUGUCUCGUGCAGCUGGCUUUGACUGGCACUUGCAAGGUUGUCCUCCAGAGAGCUCACAGUGCCCCACGAAGAAGGCCUCUCAAGCCCAGGAAGCUGAAGCCAGCCAGGGAAGGAAGGGUGAGAGGGCAGCCCGUGCAGCGUCACACCUCGGGGGGCUUGGAGCAAAACCGAGCAGUUUCUCUGUGCCAGGUGCAGCUCCUUGGACCAGGCAGUGGGAAGAAUUCCAGGGGAAGUGGAACAAACGGGAGGAAAGGAGAGCUCCCUCGUUGGGUGCACCAGGCUGGCUUGUGCCAGCGGCAGGCAGCGAGCGGGAAGGUGCAGGAAGGAGACUUUGGGCGAGGGAGAACACGGUAUUGCAACAUCCUCUGUGA